rnacentral:snoRNA from 1 species
AUUCAGAUGAUGAAUUUACCUGUUCAACUGCUGAAUGAUACAGACAUGAACCAAAACUUCAUUCUGACAGAA